UACGAAGGUGGCAAGCGUUGUUCGGAUUUACUGGGCGUAAAGGGCUCGUAGGCGGCCAACUAAGUCAGACGUGAAAUCCCUCGGCUUAACCGGGGAACUGCGUCUGAUACUGGAUGGCUAGAGAUUGGGAGAGGGAUGCGGAAUUCCAGGUGUAGCGGUGAAAUGCGUAGAGAUCGGGAGGAACAUCAGUGGCGAAGGCGGCCAUCUGGGACAACACUGACGCUGAAGCACGAAAGCGUGGGGAGCAAACAGG
rnacentral:rRNA from 1 species